rnacentral:rRNA from 1 species
UACAGAGGGUGCAAGCGUUAAUCGGAAUUACUGGGCGUAAAGCGCUUGUAGGCGGUCCACCAAGUUUGGGGUGACAGUUGCCGACUUAAUCGGCAAAGUGCCUCAAAGACUGGCGGACUUGAGGGCCACAGAGGGACAUGGAACUCCAGGUGUAGUGGUGAAAUGCGUAGAUAUCUGGAAGAACACCAAAGGCGAAGGCAGUGUCCUGGGUGGUCGCUGACGCUGAGAGGCGAAAGCCAGGGGAGCGAACGGG